GAUCCUUUGUCUCAGUGCUGAUUUUUCUUUGUGGCACUGAGCAUCUAUUUCCAACAGGUACCAAGCAGUCAGCUCUUUCCUUGGAUUGUGCUGAAAGUGGGAGAGGAAAAAAAAAAUCAACCCAAUGUUCUCAUUUCUCUAUCUACAUGAUCAUUAGAGACCAAAUCCCUUCCUGCUUGGCCCCUGGAAAUGGGGGCCAGGUGUCGCUGCUGGGAGACGCCAAUACGGCUGUACGUCAUGGUGUGAGCACUUGUCUUUAAUGACUGAGAAAUUCCAUUUCCCUCCUUGGCAGCUUUGAAUGUGGCAACUGUGGCUCUGGGACACUGCCAGAGCCAGCCCUGUAUGUAUGUGUGUCAUCUUCUUUAAAGUGGGAGAGAGAAUGUCUCAAUAUUCAGUGCUCACCCUUCCUUCCAAGUUGUUGCCCCAAAGAAGUGUCCAAUGCAAACUUAGGACUUUUCCACUCUGGAAGCAGUCUGCCGGCACCCUCAAGUCCUCCCCUCCUCAAAUGCAUCCUUUCUCUCUUGAUCCCGUUGUUCUGGGGUCCUCAGCUGAGUGGGCAUCUGUGCCUGAGUGAUACAACCGAUUCUAGCCUCUUUUCUGCAACUCUUGAGCUCUGAGACAGGUAAAAAGAAAAUCUUAAAAUAAUAAUGUUCUGCCUCACACUAGUAAAUAUUUUUCACUUAAAAAUUCUAUGUCAUUUUGAUUUGUUCAGGUAGACAAGAACAUCUUUUGUUUGAGGAAAAACUGAAGAGAUUUCUUAGGAUUCAGCUCCAAUGGCUCUGCCUGUGUCUCUUUAUCAUUGGAGCUUUGUUUUCCACCUUUGCAAGACUAGGGUGGAGGGAAGGCUUUGUGGUCUAUUGUUAGGUGCUCUUUGAAUCUACAAAUCACAGUCUACAGGAAGGGAGUGGGGCUUCCAGAGACCAUCUAGAGCAACCCUCUGUCUCUAGCAUGGACACACAACGCACACACAGUGACUGCCUGUUGUGUGUUUCUAGAACCCAGUGGGGACAGGGAGACAAUUUCUUUUGGUGUGUAGGUCUCACGUUGCUUGAUUCCGACCGUUGUGUUCUCGUGCCUGCCCUAAAUAUCUCUUGCUGCAGCUCCGGCAUGUUCCCUAAUCAGCUACUGCACCAUCCUGGCCCAUGCUCUUAGAGACAUGGUUAUCUCUGUGAUACGAGUAUCUGUUCUGGCCUAGGCAAGUCACACCCCUUUCUGAGUCUCAUAUAAAAUGUGGCUUUGAGAGUAGAUGAUGUGUCUGGUCUUAAAAUUCUCUUUGACUCUGGAGCUCUGGAUCUGAGCUUCUGUUUGAUGUUGUUUCUCUUGCUGGGCAACCUUCUCACUGACUCUCUGCUGUAAAGCCUCCCUUUUUUUAAAAAUCAAAACCUAACUUGGUCCUACCUACCCCAUGGCUGACCAUCCAAGCACUUUCUUUUGACUUUAGGGUAGCACCAUACAAUUUCUUCUUUUUGUUUUUCAUUUUAACAACCUGUAUUUUUCACAUCACGAAACAUUUCUAGAUAUUCAUCGUAGAUAAUUCAGAAAAUAUAGGUUAAUGAAAAGAAAAAAUGGAAAUCACUAAACUUCUCACUCUCAGACAUAACCACUGUUAACAAUUUGGUGUAUUUUCUUUCAGUCUUUUUUUUAAACACUCAUAUAUAGACUAGCAGAUUUCAUACUAUAUAAUUUUGUGUUCUGCUUUUCCACCUAAUAAUAUAUAAUGAGCAUUUUUGCCUAUCAUGAAACAUUUGUAAACAUAAUUUUUAAUACCUGCUUACUACUUUACAUCACCUACUUUAUUUAGCCCUUGCGUAAUUAUUUCCAAAUAGGAAAAAUACCUAUCCUGUCUGAACUCACUGAACUGGCCUAAUCAAAUGAGAUAAAAUAUGCAAAGAGCUACACAGAUGUAAGUGGUGAUUGUUCCUUAUGUUAGUUUUAUUUCCCCAAGUGAACUACUUUACUGUAUUGUCACAAAAUGGUGAUACAAUUUCCUGUUCACUAAGUUUUGCACAGUGGUGGGCAAAACAUGCUGUCUGGCUGUAAUUUCUUAAAACGGCAUGUAAAUAUUAAUAACUUUAGAAGUUUUUUCUUAGCAGUUUCUUAGAAACUCUGGUCCAAGGAAAUUAUUCAAAAUGUUUUGUGCACAGAGAUGUUCACUAUGGCAUUAUUUACAAUACCCCCAAACUAGAAAUCACCAAAAUGUCUAAUUAUAUGAGAAGGAGGUGAAGUAAAUGUUGCUGAACCUACUUUCUAGGCUAUUAGAUAGCUAUUAAAAAUGAUGUUUACAAGGCCUUUGUAAUAAAAUCAGAAACUUUUUUUGUCAUAAUUAUGGGAAGAAAUGAAGGUACAGUAUGAGAGGUGGAGAGAAAGACACCGAAAUGGGAAUGGUGGUUGGAGUUAAAGAAUGGGUAAUUGUUUUCCUUCUCUUUGUCUGCUUUUCUUCAGUGAGCUUGUGUGCCUUUGAUACAUUAAACGGUAGAGAGACAGAGAGAGACAAGAUGAGAGGGAGAGACGAGAUGAGAGAGAGAGAAGUGAACCUUGUUUUAAAAAUUACCUGGUGGAAGAACUUCCGGCAGCGGCAGCUCCAGUGGCCAAGGCAAGAUGGGUCAAAGUCAGAGUGGUGGUCAUGGUCCUGGAGGUGGCAAGAAGGAUGACAAGGACAAGAAAAAGAAAUAUGAACCUCCUGUACCAACUAGAGUGGGGAAAAAGAAGAAGAAAACAAAGGGAUCAGAUGCCACCAGCAAAUUGCCACUGGUGACACCUCACACUCAGUGCCGGUUAAAAUUACUGAAAUUAGAGAGAACUAAAGGCUACCUUCUCAUGGAGGAAGAAUUCAUUAGAAAUCAGGAACAAAUGCAACCAUUAGAAGAAAAGCAAGAGGAGGAAAGAUCAAAAGUGGAUGAUCUGAGGGGCACCCCGAUGUCAGUAGGAACCUUGGAAGAGAUCAUCGAUGACAAUCAUGCCAUCGUGUCUACAUCUGUGGGCUCAGAACACUACGUCAGCAUUCUGUCAUUUGUAGACAAGGAUCUGCUGGAACCUGGCUGCUCAGUCCUGCUCAACCACAAGGUGCAUGCCGUGAUAGGGGUGCUGAUGGAUGACACGGAUCCCCUGGUCACAUUGAUGAGGUGGAAAAGGCCCCCCAGGAGACCUAUGCCGAUAUUGGGGGCCUGGACAACCUAAUUCAGGAAAUUAAGGAAUCUGUGGAGCUUCCUCUCACCCACCCUGAAUAUUAUGAAUAUAGAGACGGGUAUAAAACCUCCUAAGGGGGUCAUUCUCUAUGGUCCACCUGGCACAGGCAAAACCUUAUUAGCCAAAGCAGUAGCAAACCAAACCUCAGCCACUUUCUUGAGAGUGGUUGGCUCUGAACUUAUUCAGAAGUACCUAGGUGAUGGGCCCAAACUCGUGCGGGAACUGUUUCGAGUUCCUGAAGAACAUGCACCGUCCAUCGUGUUUAUUGAUGAAAUUGACGCCAUUGGGACAAAAAGAUACGACUCAAAUUCUGGUGGUGAGAGAGAAAUUCAGCGAGCAAUGUUGGAACUGUUGAACCAACUGGAUGGAUUUGAUUCUAGGGGAGAUGUGAAAGUUAUCAUGGCCACAAACCGAAUAGAAACUUUGGAUCCAGCACUUAUCAGACCAGGCCGCAUUGACAGGAAGAUCGAGUUCCCCCUGCCUGAUGAAAAGACUAAGAAGCGCAUCUUUCAGAUUCACAUAAGCAGGAUGACGCUAGCCGAUGAUGUAACCCUGGGUGACUUGAUCAUGGCUAAAGAUGACCUCUCUAGUGCUGACAUCAGGGCAAUCUGUACAGAAGCUGGUCUGAUGGCCUUAAGAGAACGUAGAAUGAAAGUAACAAAUGAAGACUUCAAAAAAUCUAAAGAAAAUGUUCUUUUUAAGAAACAGGAAGGCACCCCUGAGGGGCUCUAUCUCUAGUGAACCACAGCUGCCAUCAGGAAAAUGGGAGAUUUCUCCAUCCCUGAAAGGGAUGAGGUUGGGAUAACGGAAUCCCUGUUCCCAUUGGUUUUUAUUAGCAAAACAUCCUGUGUCUUUUGGAGUACGAUGUGUAAGUGCCCAUUGGGUGGCCUUCGUCUGUCAGUCACUGUGCAGCAGUCUGCUUCUCAAUAAAGUGUGCUCUUUCAGGAAAAAAAAAAAAAAA